CUUUUCUCUCUUUUCAAGAAAUCUCUUCUAUUUAUAGAAUUAUGGAUUCAACCCAACUCCGUCUACCCAUUCAACAAAAUCAGUAUACCCCACCGUCAGAUUUUCAAUGAGUACAAAAUAGAACCCAUGACCUCUAACCUAUUUAAGAAGGACAUCAAAAAGUUAACCGUUCACAGUUCCAAGAACUGCCCAAGAUAGGGAGGAGUUUACACGUGAGACACUUUCGAUUCUCACCAAAAAUAAAAACGAAGAGCAAGAAGAAGAAAAAUUCAAUUGCAAGAGAAACCAUUCAUGGCUUCUCGAAAAUCUUGGAACUAAUUUGUGCUCCGUUAUCGACUCGACUCGACGCAACUCGAAUCGACACAAUGGCAUCGAUCUAUCAGCCCUAAUAAAACACAUGUUGUUAUAUAGGGGAACAAAGAUGCUGCGGCAACAAUGCAAUCUCAACAUUAUCAAAGAGCGUUUUUCGACGUUUGUAAUCCAAUCUUGGGCUGCUUAACUCGAAUGUGGGAAGCUAAGCUAAGUGCGGACUGGCAAUCGCCAACCAAAUUUGUGAAUAAUUUAGACAAAUUAUGAUUUUGAUUUGCCAUGGGAAUAAUUAGGGAUCGUUUGAUAUUUACAUACUCUAUAAUUUACUUUGGAAGGAAAAACUAUAAUGAUAAUAUGAUGAAUAUAUAUAACAUAUUCUAA